AGCAUGCUGCGUAUUACUCUCCUCUGAGGAAGCGGCAGUACAAACGCAGCAAUAGAAGGGCAAAGACGUCGAUGGGUACGACGCCGAACGACAACAACACGAGAAAGAGAUCAAGAUAUCCUUGGCAUGAAGGAUGGAACCAAUCAUCUGUCUUUUGGUGGAGUCGUCGCAUGAACUCGGACAUGGCGUUCUCCAAUACUUUGCAGGUAUGUAGGCGUGAUUAAACAAUUGUCAGUUAUUCAUAGACUUCAUACAUGUAUAUUUAUUGGAUGUGACAUGCAUGACAUAGAAUAUAAUAUUGG
rnacentral:misc_RNA from 1 species